rnacentral:lncRNA from 1 species
AAUUAAAGGAAGGCCGGAGGGGAGGGGAGGGGGAGGGGAGGAGAGGCCAAGCCUGGGAAGGCGGAAGGGCGCUCCUCGCCGCCGGGGAUGCGGGGGAUGCGGGGGGAUGCGCUGCUUCUCCAGGUGAGGGGGCGCAGAGCCCUCCCACACCUCCCACUCCCCAGCCCCAGAGCAAACUGUGGCCCUCAGAGAGCUCUGCGCACCCCAGCCUGGCUUCCCCACGGUCCCACACUCUCUCGGGACCCUGUGCUUUUACUUCUGCCCUGAUUGCUCCGCUGGACUCCUGGUGGUGGGAUUCAGGGCAGGCUCGUUCUGGGGGCCGAAGUCUAGAACAGGACGGGGCUGCCUGUCUCCUGGAAGCGAGGGGAGGGGCUCUGGGCCGCUGGCAUCCUGGGCCCCUGGCCCUCCCUCCGGGAGCAACUCCUCAGUUCCCGGGACGGGAUGUGGCAUGUUUGGAGGACCCUGGUAGCCGGGAGGAUGUGGCCUCAUCUGUUCACCCAGCACACCCCCUGGCACGGCACGGUGCCCUGCAUACAGGAGGCGCUCAAUAAUUGCUGGCCGAGUAACCGGAUGACAUGAGAGCCUAAAUCACGGCAUUGGACAUCUACAGCCCUGAGGGGACUGGAGGCAUGAGAACCCCCUCAGACGGGCCGAAUCAGAACCUGGCAGAUUUGGGGCAAGGCUGAAAACAUCUAUGUGGUGUGAUCAAAAGAUAUGGUGAAUAUGAAUAUAUAUUUUUCCUGAACAUUUAUUAUAGUAAAGACACAUUGUCAUGAAUCUCCCUCAAAAUACUCCCCCUCGCUUUAAACAUGCUUAUCCCAUCUUUCUUGCAACUCUCUGAAGCAGUUCUGGAAGUCCUCUUUCAUGAGUGUCUUUACAAAGUGUGAUCAGGAACAGAGGCGGCGGCUGCUGCUGAGUGCUAUCCAAGGGAAAGGCAGGCCCAUAAAAAUAUGGUGCUGUGUCUUUACCUACCUUACUCCCUGGAUCUGGCACAGAGUUCUGGCUCUUCUCCCAAGCCAAAAUGACCACGAAAAGUAAAUGUUUUGGAUAGAUUCAGGACAUCAAGGCAGGUGUGAUAGCACGAUUAAAGACCCUCACAAAGGAAGACUUCCAGAAGUGCUUCAGGAAGCGGCAGGAAUGAUGAGAUAAAUGUGUUCAAAGCAAAAAAAAGUAUUUUGAAGGGGAUUAAUGACAGUAUGUCUCUUAUUGUAAUAAUUAAAAAUUUUUUCACAGUCAUACAUUUUUUACCACACUUUAUAGCUAUGGUUUAAAGCCUUGUGGAGAAAUAAGGUAUUUGUCACCACUGCCAUAAUUCACUCAAUAAAUAUUUCAUGAGCACCUGCUGUACCUCCAGUAUGUUAUAGACCCUGCUCACGGUGAAUGGUGAGGAAGGACAGCAGGGUUUCUGCCUCAUAGAGUAUACAUCAAAGCUGGGGGGUCAGGGACAAAAGCCACUGCACGAAGAAACAAAUGAGGACAUUGGCAUUUGAGUUGAGACAUAAAUGAUGAGAAGGGACCAAUCCUUUAAACAUCUGGGAAGAAGGGUAGUCCAGGCAGAAGGAGCAGCAAAUCCAAAGGCUCAGGGGCAGAAAAGAGCUUCCCGGUGUGAGGAACAGCCCAGGUGCCUGUGUGGGAGCAGGGUGAACAGUGUGGAUUUGCUGGCCGGGGUAAGAGCUUAUAUUUACCACAGUCACAAAGGUGGG